rnacentral:lncRNA from 1 species
GAAAACAGAGACUAGAAUACGGAAGAAAAGAUUAAAGAGAAAUACAUUUUUUCUUUGAAUAUAAAGGUGUUUUUUUAUUUUAUUUUUUUCGGUGUUCAUUUUCUAUGUUUAUUAUUGAUUUAUAAAAGGAAGAGAGGGAAGCGAAGUUUACCUCCGUGUUUGGGCCGCCGUUUUGGGACCAUCUUCGUCGUAAUCGGAGCUCUGGCACAAGAGCCGACAAGCGACGGUGCAAAAGGAAAAAGAGUUUUAAAAAAACCCUAGCAGAGAGUUUUAGGUUUUUAUUUUUUAUUUUUUUCUUUUAUUUUGUUUGCUGCAGAUUUUUUUAAAAAAAGGAAGAAAAACUGAUUUAAAUAGCAAAUCCUGUCUUCCUAUAUUGGUAGCGAAGUGGAUCGAAGAUAGCAGAUCUUGUCUUCCCAUACUGGUGGCGAAAUAGAUCGAAGAUGGCAUAUCUUGUC